rnacentral:rRNA from 1 species
AGUGAACGCUGGCGGCGUGCUUAACACAUGCAAGUCGAACGAGAACGGGCUAUAGCUUGCUAUAGUUGUCAGCUAAGUGGCGCACGGGUGAGUAAUGUAUAGGUAAUAUGCCUCUUACUAAGGGAUAACAAAUGGAAACGUUUGCUAAUACCUUAUACUCCUUAUUAACAGGAGUUAAUAAGGGAAAGAUUUAUUGGUAAGAGAUUAGCCUGUAUUGUAUCAGUUAGUUGGUGGGGUAAUGGCUUACCAAGACUAUGACGCAUAACUGGUUUGAGAGGAUGAUCAGUCACACUGGAACUGAGACACGGUCCAGACUCCUACGGGAGGCAGCAGUGGGGAAUAUUGCACAAUGGACGAAAGUCUGAUGCAGCAACGCCGCGUGGAGGAUGACACAUUUCGGUGCGUACACUCCUUUUAUAUGAGAAGAUAAUGACGGUAUUAUAUGAAUAAGCACCGGCUAACUACGUGCCAGCCGCCGCGGUAAUAC